rnacentral:lncRNA from 1 species
AUGUCCUGCUUCUCCUCCCGCCUCGGUGCCUCCUGUGGGGUCCGCGCCUUCAGCUGUGCCUCAGCCUGUGGGCCCCGUCCCGGCCGCUGCUGUAUCACUGCAGCUCCCUACAGGGGCAUCUCCUGCUACCGCGGACUCACAGGGGGCUUCGGCAGCCGCAGCGUCUGUGGGGCCUUCCGCUCUGGCUCCUGUGGACGCAGCUUCGGAUACCGAUCCGGAGGCGUCUGCGGACCCAGCCCCCCCUGCAUCACCACCGUCUCUGUCAACGAGAGCCUGCUCACCCCCCUCAACCUGGAGAUCGACCCCAAUGCUCAGUGCGUGAAGCAUGAGGAGAAGGAGCAGAUCAAGUGCCUGAACAGCAGGUUCGCGGCCUUCAUCGACAAGGUGCGCUUCCUGGAGCAGCAGAACAAGCUGCUGGAGACCAAGUGGCAGUUCUACCAGAACCGCAAGUGCUGUGAGAGCAACCUGGAGCCUCUGUUCGAGGGCUACAUUGAGACGCUGAGAAGAGAGGCUGAGUAUGUGGAGGCCGACAGUGGCAGGCUGGCUGCUGAGCUCAACCAUGUGCAGGAGGCCAUGGAGGGCUACAAGAAGAGGUAUGAAGAGGAAGUGGCGCUACGGGCCACUGCUGAGAAUGAAUUUGUGGCCCUGAAGAAGGAUGUGGACUGUGCCUACCUCCGUAAAUCAGACCUGGAAGCCAAUGCGGAAGCUCUGACACAGGAGAUCGACUUCCUGCGACGACUGUACGAAGAGGUAAGGGGACCCUUCUCAGUGUGAGGAGAUGAAGGCCACAGUGAUCCGGCACGGGGAGACCCUCCGCCGCACCAGGGAGGAGAUGAACGAGCUGAACCGCAUCAUCCAGAGGCUGACGGCUGAGAUAGAGAACGCCAAGUGCCAGCGAGCAAAGCUGGAGACUGCUGUGGCUGAGGCAGAGCAGCAGGGAGAGGCCGCCCUCACCGAUGCCCGAGGCAAGCUGACUGAGCUGGAGGCUGCCCUGCAGAAGGCCAAGCAGGACAUGGCCUGCCUGCUCAAGGAGUACCAGGAGGUGAUGAACUCCAAGCUGGGGCUGGACAUCGAGAUCGCCACCUACAGGCGCCUGCUGGAGGGCGAGGAGCACAGGCUGUGUGAAGGUGUGGGCUCUGUGAAUGUCUGUGUCAGCAGCUCCCGUGGAGGAGUCACAUGUGGGGGCCUCACUUAUGGCACUACCCCAGGGCGCCAGAUUGCCUCUGGACCCUCUGUCACCGGGGGCAGCAUCUCAGUGAUGGCCCCUGACUCCUGCUCUCCUUGCCAGCCCCGUGCCUCCAGCUUCACCUGUGGGAGCAGCCGCUCUGUGCGCUUUGCUUAG